UGUGGGAGCGAGCUUGCUCGCGAUGACUGAGUGUCAGUCGCCAUGAUGCCAACUGAUACACCGCCAUCGCGAGCAAGCUCGCUCCCACA
rnacentral:misc_RNA from 1 species